rnacentral:rRNA from 2 species
AAAUUGAAGAGUUUGAUCAUGGCUCAGAUUGAACGCUGGCGGCAGGCCUAACACAUGCAAGUCGAACGGUAACAGAAAGCAGCUUGCUGCUUUGCUGACGAGUGGCGGACGGGUGAGUAAUGUCUGGGAAACUGCCUGAUGGAGGGGGAUAACUACUGGAAACGGUAGCUAAUACCGCAUAACGUCGCAAGACCAAAGAGGGGGACCUUAGGGCCUCUUGCCAUCGGAUGUGCCCAGAUGGGAUUAGCUAGUAGGUGGGGUAACGGCUCACCUAGGCGACGAUCCCUAGCUGGUCUGAGAGGAUGACCAGCCACACUGGAACUGAGACACGGUCCAGACUCCUACGGGAGGCAGCAGUGGGGAAUAUUGCACAAUGGGCGCAAGCCUGAUGCAGCCAUGCCGCGUGUAUGAAGAAGGCCUUCGGGUUGUAAAGUACUUUCAGCGGGGAGGAAGGGAGUAAAGUUAAUACCUUUGCUCAUUGACGUUACCCGCAGAAGAAGCACCGGCUAACUCCGUGCCAGCAGCCGCGGUAAUACGGAGGGUGCAAGCGUUAAUCGGAAUUACUGGGCGUAAAGCGCACGCAGGCGGUUUGUUAAGUCAGAUGUGAAAUCCCCGGGCUCAACCUGGGAACUGCAUCUGAUACUGGCAAGCUUGAGUCUCGUAGAGGGGGGUAGAAUUCCAGGUGUAGCGGUGAAAUGCGUAGAGAUCUGGAGGAAUACCGGUGGCGAAGGCGGCCCCCUGGACGAAGACUGACGCUCAGGUGCGAAAGCGUGGGGAGCAAACAGGAUUAGAUACCCUGGUAGUCCACGCCGUAAACGAUGUCGACUUGGAGGUUGUGCCCUUGAGGCGUGGCUUCCGGAGCUAACGCGUUAAGUCGACCGCCUGGGGAGUACGGCCGCAAGGUUAAAACUCAAAUGAAUUGACGGGGGCCCGCACAAGCGGUGGAGCAUGUGGUUUAAUUCGAUGCAACGCGAAGAACCUUACCUGGUCUUGACAUCCACGGAAGUUUUCAGAGAUGAGAAUGUGCCUUCGGGAACCGUGAGACAGGUGCUGCAUGGCUGUCGUCAGCUCGUGUUGUGAAAUGUUGGGUUAAGUCCCGCAACGAGCGCAACCCUUAUCCUUUGUUGCCAGCGGUCCGGCCGGGAACUCAAAGGAGACUGCCAGUGAUAAACUGGAGGAAGGUGGGGAUGACGUCAAGUCAUCAUGGCCCUUACGACCAGGGCUACACACGUGCUACAAUGGCGCAUACAAAGAGAAGCGACCUCGCGAGAGCAAGCGGACCUCAUAAAGUGCGUCGUAGUCCGGAUUGGAGUCUGCAACUCGACUCCAUGAAGUCGGAAUCGCUAGUAAUCGUGGAUCAGAAUGCCACGGUGAAUACGUUCCCGGGCCUUGUACACACCGCCCGUCACACCAUGGGAGUGGGUUGCAAAAGAAGUAGGUAGCUUAACCUUCGGGAGGGCGCUUACCACUUUGUGAUUCAUGACUGGGGUGAAGUCGUAACAAGGUAACCGUAGGGGAACCUGCGGUUGGAUCACCUCCUUA